AUGUCGAGCUCCGCUUCAGCCUCCCGCCGCUCAUGGUCGUGCUAUGGCGCAGUGCCCAUGACAAGGUGCCCUGCAUGCCCACGUAUCGCACCCCUGAAGCGGCUAGUCACAAUGACCGACAAGAAUGGCAACCUUGGGCGGGAAUUCGUGAAAUGCGAGAGCAAACCAGAGCAGGGAAAGAAAUUGAAGCAAUGCACCCAUUUUGAGUGGCUAGAUGAGUACAUAGAGUGGAUUCAACUGGAGGGUGCAUCAGGGGAGCUCGGUUAA
rnacentral:rRNA from 1 species